GACGAACGCUGGCGGCGUGCUUAACACAUGUAAGUCGAACGGAAAGGCCCUGCUUUUGUGGGGUGCUCGAGUGGCGAACGGGUGAGUAACACGUGAGUAACCUGCCCUUGACUUUGGGAUAACUUCAGGAAACUGGGGCUAAUACCGGAUAGGAGCUCCUGCUGCAUGGUGGGGGUUGGAAAGUUUCGGCGGUUGGGGAUGGACUCGCGGCUUAUCAGCUUGUUGGUGGGGUAGUGGCUUACCAAGGCUUUGACGGGUAGCCGGCCUGAGAGGGUGACCGGCCACAUUGGGACUGAGAUACGGCCCAGACUCCUACGGGAGGCAGCAGUGGGGAAUAUUGCACAAUGGGCGGAAGUCUGAUGCAGCAACGCCGCGUGCGGGAUGACGGCCUUCGGGUUGUAAACCGCUUUCGCCUGUGACGAAGCGUGAGUGACGGUAAUGGGUAAAGAAGCACCGGCUAACUACGUG
rnacentral:rRNA from 1 species